AACGAACGCUGGCGGCAGGCCUAACACAUGCAAGUCGAACGUGAAGCCACCUUCGGGUGGUGGAAAGUGGCAGACGGGUGAGUAACGCGUGGGAACGUGCCUUUCGGUUCGGAAUAACCCAGGGAAACUUGGGCUAAUACCGGAUACGCCCUUCGGGGGAAAGAUUCAUCGCCGAAAGAUCGGCCCGCGUCGGAUUAGCUAGUUGGUAGGGUAAUGGCCUACCAAGGCGACGAUCCGUAGCUGGUCUGAGAGGAUGACCAGCCACACUGGGACUGAGACACGGCCCAGACUCCUACGGGAGGCAGCAGUGGGGAAUCUUGGACAAUGGGCGAAAGCCUGAUCCAGCCAUGCCGCGUGGGUGAAGAAGGCCUUAGGGUUGUAAACCCCUUUCAGCGGGGAAGAUAAUGACGGUACCCGCAGAAGAAGCCCCGGCUAACUCCGUGCCAGCAGCCGCGGUAAUAC
rnacentral:rRNA from 1 species